UAAUACGGAGGGGGCAAGCGUUGUUCGGAAUUAUUGGGCGUAAAGAGUAUGUAGGCGGCUAGAUAAGUCAGACGUGUAAGCCCAUGGCUCAACCAUGGAAUUGCGAUUGAAACUAUUUAGCUUGAGUGCAGGAGAGGAAAGCGGAAUUCCCAGUGUAGCGGUGAAAUGCAUUGAUAUUGGGAAGAACACCGGUGGCGAAGGCGGCUUUCUGGUCUGUUACUGACGCUGAGAUACGAAAGCCAGGGGAGCAAAGAGGAUUAGAUACCCCCGUAGUCCUGGCCGUAAACGAUGGGCACUAGGUGGAGGAGGUAUCGAUCCCUUCUCUGUCGUAGCUAACGCAUUAAGUGCCCCGCCUGGGGAGUACGGUCGCAAGGCUG
rnacentral:rRNA from 1 species